CCUACGGGAGGCAGCAGUAGGGAAUCUUCCACAAUGGGCGCAAGCCUGAUGGAGCAACACCGCGUGAGUGAAGAAGGGUUUCGGCUCGUAAAGCUCUGUUGUUGGAGAAGAACGUGCGUGAGAGUAACUGUUCACGCAGUGACGGUAUCCAACCAGCAAGUCACGGCUAACUACGUGCCAGCAGCCGCGGUAAUACGUAGGUGGCAAGCGUUAUCCGGAUUUAUUGGGCGUAAAGCGAGAGCAGGCGGUUGCUUAGGUCUGAUGUGAAAGCCUUCGGCUUAACCGAAGAAGUGCAUCGGAAACCGGGCAACUUGAGUGCAGAAGAGGACAGUGGAACUCCAUGUGUAGCGGUGGAAUGCGUAGAUAUAUGGAAGAACACCAGUGGCGAAGGCGGCUGUCUGGUCUGCAACUGACGCUGAGGCUCGAAAGCAUGGGUAGCGAACAGGAUUAGAUACCCCAGUAGUC
rnacentral:rRNA from 1 species